rnacentral:rRNA from 1 species
AGGACGAACGCUGGCGGCGUGCUUAACACAUGCAAGUCGAGCGGAAAGGCCCUUCGGGGUACUCGAGCGGCGAACGGGUGAGUAACACGUGAGUAACCUGCCCCUAGCUCUGGGAUAGCUCCGGGAAACCGGGAUUAAUACCAGAUACGACCACGGCCGACAUCUGCUGUGGUGGAAAGGAUUCCGGCUAAGGAUGGGCUCGCGGCCUAUCAGCUAGUUGGUGGAGUAACGGCCCACAAGGCGACGACGGGUA